rnacentral:lncRNA from 1 species
AGAAAGAAAGAGAAAGAAAGUUGGAUUGUUUGAUAGGAACAUACCACCCUUGAGUCUUCCCCUCAUGAAACAUGGAUGCAGAGUUUUGGCCGGAAUUAAAAUUGCUAAACUGUGUUUGAGGUUGGCAGAGGAAGUGGUAUGGAAUUUACCAAGACAGGCUGGGAGUUGAAAAAAAUUAUAAUCCAGGUGCCUCACCUUUUCCUCCACUGGUUGCUUUUCCCCCUAUGCCCUGACGCCUGGGAGCUUAUUUACCGAGUCAAUUAACAAAAGAUAACCUCCCAUUGUGCAACCAUCAAUAAAUCAAUCGUGUUAAUACUAUCUUGGAAUGUCCCCGACUAUUGACUUUCAUAUUGUUUACAUUAGCCACUUGAGAAAGCCAGAACCCUUGAGUCGGCUUGUUUGGGCGUUAAUGGAUUCUGGAGUAGCCAUUACUACAUAUAAGUCUCUUUACAAAAUAUUGAAGUUUCUCUGAGGUUCACCUGCUUUCUGAACACUGGCGGUACACUCUCCUCCCUCCCCACACGAUCCUGCAGCACCGAGUUUGAUGAAUACUUAGGAAGGCAAACAAUCAUGAUCAGUAAUGGAACAGUCACUUAGGGUACACCUACUUCUUUGUGAGUUGAAUAAUCUAUUUCCACCCACCCCAGCCCCACACUGUCAACCACCAUCAACAAUCCGGGGAAUCAAGUUAAUCUUCAAUUAGGUGAAAGAAUUUCAGGAACGAGUGCAGCUCAAGUUACCAAGUAACUUACUGUUGUGAAACGAUUCAUACUGCAAGCCGCCUAAAUGCAGGGCUUUUGAUGAUAUUCCCCGCCAACAAGGCAUGAAGGUGGGGCUUGCCUCCAUCUGGCUCUCCUGCCACUUUCAACAACACACCCCACAUCCGAUCCUGCUUAGAGUCGAAGAUGAAUCUGGCAUAAUACAAACAGCACUGGACUGGAAGCAUGAAGUUUCUCUUAUCUGUGCCUUGGUUUCCUCAUGUGGAAAAUGAAAAUGUUGACAUAAAUAAUCACACAGGUCUCUGUUA